AUGUAUUUUAUAAGCUGUUUUUAAAUUCACUUUAUUACCUAUACAGUAGAUAUUUACAGGGAUUUUUUUUGUUUUGUUUUGAAAACACAUAAUAACAUUUUUAUUGAAUCGUUUUGUCUUGAUAGAAGUUGUUGUUUAUCGAAAACAAAUACGCAUUGGUUUUUUAAAAGCUUCUAUACGCGCAUUAUAAGAUCAAGAGCUUAUAAUAACGUUAUUUAAUCUAUUGCGCAGUGUACAGCAAACUGUUGGACUUGUAUUA